rnacentral:rRNA from 1 species
UACAGAGGGUGCAAGCGUUAAUCGGAAUUACUGGGCGUAAAGCGUGCGUAGUCGGUUAUUUAAGUCGGGUGUGAAAGCCCCGGGCUCAACCUGGGAAUUGCAUUCGAUACUGGAUAGCUAGAGUUCGGCAGAGGGAAGCGGAAUUUCCGGUGUAGCGGUGAAAUUCGUAGAUAUUCGCAAGAACACCAGUGGCGAAGGCGGCUCACUGGCCCGAUACUGACGCUGAGGCACGAAAGCGUGGGGAGCAAACAGG